ensembl:lncRNA
AAAUUAUUUUUUUCCGAGGAGCAGCUCUCGGCAAACGAAUAUCCAGGCGCCGCUCUAGCUGGUUAUGUUUGGGACGCGAUAACUCAGUGCCUGCUCGCAGACCUGCAUACAACGCCCCGUGGAGGGAUAUGCGCUCGAGCUUUGGCGCGCAGCUGGAAACGCGCUGGGUGCAGUCGGGAAACGUACUGCGUAGACGCCCCCGGCGGCGCCGAGGGAAGAGCUAGGCCUGCCCGUGAGCGAGCGAGCGAGCGAGCGAGCGUCGGGCCUUCGGCAAGGGUAAGCUCCCCGCCAAGGGGCCCAGAGGGAAGCGGAUGUCGGGACCUGGCCUUGCCCCCAGCUUCGGGGGUUCCAUCCCGCGUUUCGCUGGCCCCUAGCCCCCCUGGCUUUCCGAAGCGCGGCCUGUCUCCAGGUCCGGUCCGUCUGGGGCUGGAGCGGCAGCGAAAAGUCGGGAACGCAGCUGACCGAGCGGCCCCGGGAGCUAAGGUCAGGCCCGCGGGGAGAACGGGCAGUGGUUUCCAGCGCUGGACGCGGGCGCCCGGGGCCGGCCGGGCCGCAGACUCUGCUGUAUCCAGCCAGCAGGACCCGCGUCUCUCCUCUGGGCCAGGCCGCAGUGACUUCCCCCAGAUUCUCUUUCGUUUCCCAGAUUACUAGCUAUUAUCUUUUCCCCAGUCCGAGGCCCUUGGGGGCGAAGCGUUUGCUCCCAGUUGCCCAGAGUGCAAGCCGAAACCCUUCGCCCGAGGCCUGCGGAUGGGUUCCCAUUUGAUCUCCAGGCUUAGAUGGGCCGGAAACGGAGGCCUGGGCCCCGCCGGAGCUGGAAGGAGAAGGCGAAGCUCUGAGCUGGGCGAGAGCUCCUUUCCUUGUGGCUCCCUUCCCCCGCGUUCCCGGCGCGGGUCCCCGCAGCCCCUCGGACGCGCUCGCAAAGGAUCCCGCAGCCGCGGCUUCCGGGACCCGCUGUCCCAGACACUGGGGAGGCCCGGAGCGCGGACCGCAUACACUAAAGACCUCCCCCAGUUUUGAGCAUCUCCAUUCUUUCCCCCGGUCGUUGGGCGGUUAAGUUCCAAAGAGCAGCCGCCCCAAGCAGCCUCCCUUCCCUCUUCGGGAGGAUCCGCGCUUUCCUCGACCUGCUCCCAGCACGGUCUCCACCGCCCCCCGCGCCCACCCCGCCAAAUGCAUUUUCCUCAAUUUUGCAAAAUUCUGGCCCUGUUUUUAAUAUCACCGUGGGUAGAGGAGUAGAGGGUCCCACUUAAAAAAAAAAAAAAAAAAGCCCGAAACAAAACCAACAAGGGGAGACCGCUGUUGCUUUUUUCUCGCUCCUGCCUCUCUGUUUUAGGAAAGUUGAGUGUUUCUGAAGGAAAGACAGACCACCGUCUCUCUCCUCUCAAAAAAAUGACCUGGCUUACGAAGACACCAUCUUUUCCGUUUUUUUUUUUCCAACGCGUCCCUGCCUGACUCGGGUCUGAUCUCUACCGGAGUCAAAACAGGAGGGAGAAGAGCAGAAAAGGCUGGGAAAAUGAGGAAGGAUUCCAGCAACGACAGAUAACGACAAACCAAAGUUGGGCCGACUCAUUUUGCAAAAAAGGCAGUCGGUCUACAGGGGAGAAAUUCCCUCGUUUUCUCAGGGGGUCAUUUCCCCUCUCGCCUAGUUAAAUCUGGCUCUGCUGUAUUUUUUCCAGGACCUCGCGGUAUCUCCCUUCCCCGUGUUUUAGCCCAUUCCUGCCUUUCUUCCCUUCUGACCGGAAGCAUCUGGGGAGCAUACUGGCUAUGGCUAUUAUUUUAAUAUCCCAUAUUCUCCUCCAAUAUUUUCACCGAGAAUUAUUACUGCCACUGCUCUUACCCAGGUUGUUCUUCCCUGUGCUUUGGAAACAUUCCCCCCCCGCUCCCCCAAAUUUGGCGGAUGAAGCCCCCCGCCCCACCCCAUCAGGGCAAUAAAAUGAGAUCUAGAAGGUGAGAUCUCGAUGCU